rnacentral:lncRNA from 1 species
CGCGCGACGGACUUGAGGACGCCAUACACAUUUGAACAAUCGGCGCCCUUGGAAGCCAACAAAAGGCGGGCGACGUUGAGGGGCGCGCCGGCUCCAAGAUGCCCCAGGACGGUACCGCGGCGGACAGCCAGAGCCAAGAGCGCGCGGUCGACAGGGAAGCCGGUCGCAAUAUUCCAUGCCACCAGAUCCUUGCCGCGGCCGAUGCAGGUCGCAAUAUGCGCCAGCACCUCUGCGGGCAUGCAGACGAGGGGUGGCUCUGCCGAGUAUGUAUUCAUGGCCGUCGUGAAACGGAAAACAAAGAAAGUGUCGCUCUGGGAGUUGUCCAGCGGAGCGUCGACCAAAAGCA